UUAAGUUCAGGGGGUAUCCCUACCUGAUCUGAGGUCAAGCUGUAAAAUAAAUCGUUCAGUUGGCAGACAUCUAUACAGUUGCUUUAACGAGAAAUUACUUACUACGUCUUACAAGCUGAAAUAGCGUCGCCAAUAGCUUAAAGGAGAGAGGCAAUGCCACUUCUCCCAAUACCAAAACCAAGGUUUUGAUUGAUUUAUUG
rnacentral:misc_RNA from 1 species